CAGGUGCAGCCAUCACUCUGCCAUUACUGUGUCAGAAGGUUUGCCUACCAGCAAUAAUCAGAGCUAAUGGAUUGUAAUGCAACAGAAAUCCCACCUGAUGUGUUCUCCUGAACCUGUGACAGACAAACUGAUGUGCCACUUGCUGAGGCCUGCAGUUGACAGAGCACUGUGAAGCUGCAGGCAAACCAUGACAACACCAUCUGUAUUAGAAAUGCAAGAGAAGCAUAGAGAUAACUGAGACAUAUUGGUAAAGAGGAUUUACUCUGAAAGAUGUGGUCCAAGAUAAAGUUGCGCCCAUCAAGCCUCAGAGCGUGGCUCAGAUAGAGGUGUUGAUGAGAGAGGACGAAGAUGGGUGGGCUGCUGGAGAGAUGUGCAUGGAUAAAUCACAUCUAUCCUCGAGACGUGGGCCUGAUACCAGAACUGAAGCAUGACCAAGUGGUGAGGAAGAAGGGCUGAUCAAAAGACAAGAGU